rnacentral:rRNA from 2 species
CGCAGCCUGAUGCAGCCAUGCCGCGUGUGUGAAGAAGGCCUUCGGGUUGUAAAGCACUUUCAGUCAGGAGGAAAGGUUAGUAGUUAAUACCUGCUAGCUGUGACGUUACUGACAGAAGAAGCACCGGCUAACUCCGUGCCAGCAGCCGCGGUAAUACGGAGGGUGCGAGCGUUAAUCGGAAUUACUGGGCGUAAAGCGUACGCAGGCGGUUUGUUAAGCGAGAUGUGAAAGCCCCGGGCUCAACCUGGGAACUGCAUUUCGAACUGGCAAACUAGAGUGUGAUAGAGGGUGGUAGAAUUUCAGGUGUAGCGGUGAAAUGCGUAGAGAUCUGAAGGAAUACCGAUGGCGAAGGCAGCCACCUGGGUCAACACUGACGCUCAUGUACGAAAGCGUGGGGAGCAAACGGGAUUAGAUACCCCGGUAGUCCACGCCGUAAACGAUGUCUACUAGAAGCUCGGAGCCUCGGUUCUGUUUUUCAAAGCUAACGCAUUAAGUAGACCGCCUGGGGAGUACGGCCGCAAGGUUAAAACUCAAAUGAAUUGACGGGGGCCCGCACAAGCGGUGGAGCAUGUGGUUUAAUUCGAUGCAACGCGAAGAACCUUACCUACACUUGACAUACAGAGAACUUACCAGAGAUGGUUUGGUGCCUUCGGGAACUCUGAUACAGGUGCUGCAUGGCUGUCGUCAGCUCGUGUUGUGAGAUGUUGGGUUAAGUCCCGCAACGAGCGCAACCCCUAUCCUUAGUUGCUAGCAGGUAAUGCUGAGAACUCUAAGGAGACUGCCGGUGAUAAACCGGAGGAA